AGCAGCCGCGGUAAUUCCAGCUCCAAUAGCGUAUAUUAAAGUUGUUGCAGUUAAAAAGCUCGUAGUUGAAUUUCGGGAUCAAUAUAUCGGUCGUACCUUGGUACGUACUGGUAUCAUUGGUUUCUCCUUUCUGACGAACCAUGAUGUCAUUAAUUUGGUGUUAUGGGAAGUUAGGACUGUUACUUUGAAAAAAUUAGAGUGUUUAAAGCAGGCUUUAGCUUGAAUACAUUAGCAUGGAAUAAUGAAAUAGGACGUUCGAACCUAUUUUGUUGGUUUCUAGGAUCAACGUAAUGAUUAAUAGGGAUAGUUGGGGGCAUUAGUAUUCAAUUGUCAGAGGUGAAAUUCUUGGAUUUAUUGAAGACUAACUACUGCGAAAGCAUUUGCCAAGGAUGUUUUCAUUAAUCAAGAACGAAGUUAGGGGAUCGAAGACGAUCAGAUACCGUCGUAGUCUUAACCAUAAACUAUGCCGACUAGGGAAUCGGAUGAUGUUAAUUUUUUAAUGUACUCAUUCGG
rnacentral:rRNA from 1 species